CCUCUCUAUUCUGGCUGUACAAAGUGUAUCAGCAUUGGAUUGGUAGGAAAACUUAGGACAAAAAGCCAGAGAUAGGGAUGUAACUUGUCUAAAAAGAAGAAGGAAAGUCAGCCCAGAGGGUCGCCUGCAGGCUGGGCUAAUUGCCAAGGCAAAGAGGGUGAGUGCUGGUGUCCAAGGGGCAGGUGGAUGAAGAGGAAGAGAAAGAGAUUGUCUUGCCUGCAAGAGCCAAGAUGAAGAUGCUAACAUUCAGAGAUGCUUACUGGCUGAGCUUGGAUUAGGCAGCGAGUAGCUCAGCUUGGACCUAACCCUUGUUUUUCUGACUCCAAAACGAAAGUCCUCAGCCCUCUCGAGCAUCAACCUCAGUAUGUUGUGGGAUUCUCAUUUCUCACUGUGACCCAAAAGAAUAACCUAAGUGAGUUUCCUGCAGAUGCUGCUUAUUAAAGCUUCUGAAGUCUAGUUUCCAGGUGAACCAAACAUUCUGAUGUGAAAAUCCUGCUACAACCAAAAAGUAAAAGGUGGAGCCUUGGGAAGGUAAUUAGGUCAUGAAGGAGAAACUCUCAUGAAUGGAUUUAGUGGCAUUAUAAAAGAGGCUCCAGAUCCCUUGUCCUCUCACCAUGUGAGGACACAAUGAAAAGCCACCAGCUCUGAACCAGGAUUUGGACCCACAUCAGAAUGCAACCACGCUGGUGCCUUGACCUUGGACUUCGGAGUUUCCAAAACUAUUAGAAAUAAAUUUCCGUUCUUUAUAAGCUA